AUGGCAGGUCCAGAGAAGGAAGACAGCUCUGCUGGCCCAGUGCCUUCCGGACUCUGCUCCUCUUUUCUUCCCUGCCUUCUUUCUCUAGCUGAGUCUACUUUGAUUGCUCAGUAUCCUGGAGAGGAAAGUGUACCUGCGCAGAGGGUCCAGGACUGCCCCCCCCCCCCAGUCCCCAAGCUGUGGCACAAGAGCUUGGCUCUUCUUAUUGCCUUGGCUUUUUUUCCUGAGCAAACACAACAAACAAAAAGGCCAGAGAAGACCACAGACUCUGUUCCUCUCACAGCUCCCCAGAAGAGACUUCCUUAUGUCACCAGAUGCCAUUUCAGCCAGGUGGAAACCCAGGCACCCUCUGCAGUCACCUGCCUGGUAACCACCUCGAAGAUUCUUGUGUCCAUUUCAGACAGUUGCUUCCGGGAUCCACCAGCUGACUUGCCUGAGCUCCCACAUCACCAAGGGACUGGGCUGAUCUCAACGUACAAGGAAAAAAUGAACAAAGUGGAAUCCAGUGGUGUUGGGGCUUUUGUUUUUAUUUUGUAAAGGUAAUGACUUCUUAUAAACUCAAUUUUUCAGAUGACUGGUUAGUUCUUUUUGUUUUUUCUUGGCUGAAGUUUGGCGUUGUACAUUGUAAAAUAUCCAAAGAUGUCAAGUACUGUAUGAUGAAGAACUUGAAGCAAAUGGGAGUGCGGGGGGUAGGGGUGGCUGUUUUAUUUUGUUUCAGUUUUGUUUUGUUUUGUUUGAGUUUCUGAUUUCCCUGUCUGUCUGUGGGAGAACUUUGGAAUUUUUUCUAUUUAUAACUCUUUUUAUGUGAUUGCUCUAUGUAAAAUGACACUCAACAAAGUUUGCCUUAGUGAUUCAAGGGACAAUCUUCCAUAACUUUGGUUGCACGCAGCAUCCUGCCAAGAAACUCUCAGCUAAUUUUCUGGCCUAUUUAUUAAACAGUAUUAACUGACUUGAUUAAAUCAUAUUGAGAGUUGCACUUCUCUGAGAUGUCACCGCUGGAGGUUCCUAGGAUAGCAACAAGCCUAUUUGUAGAAGUUUGGCACUUAAGGUAUACACUAUUGGGUGUUAUACAUUUCAAAUAAUCUCAAAGACGCCUUUCCAAAAUACCCUAAACCUUUGACCUUUGACCUUUAAUCUUCGGAAGCGCAGUGAGCCAAAGCAGCCCUGCUUGCUUCACUCCAGGUUCAAAGUGAAUUCCCCCUUUUAGGUCACAUUUCAGGGGUCUGUGGGUGUUGUGUGGUGGGUAGACCGAGCUCAGUUCUUCAUAAUUUCUUAUACUGCAGCUUUGUGAGGCACUGGAUAAUGGUAAGCUACUAGGUGUCUGUGAGCCUGCACACAGGUUUUGUGUGUGUUUUUGUGUGUGUGCACGCGCUCACGCAGCCUGGGAUGUGUGAGCACGGGGAAGUCCCAGGAUUGCUGACUGUGUUAGCCUAGUUGGUUGUACUAGUUCCUUGGCAUGGUGCCCAAGCAGCUUCUAGUGGGCUCUACUGCCAUACUGGCCUCUUCCUGUCACCCUUGGUGUGGAGUUGAACUUCUUUUUCUUGGUCACCUGAACUUCUUUCCAACCACAAAAUACUAGAUCCUGAAGGAGGUAAAUUAUAUAUAUAUAUAUUUUUUUUUUUUCAUUGAAUGGACUUCGCUCUGUUCAAAGCAUAGGCCCAGAGCAAACUCUUUAAGGGUUAAAUUAUUAUUUGAACUGCAUUUUCUGGAUAACCAAGGACUAACCUAGAGCCUCCUUUCUAUUUUCAAUUCCUUUUCUUGCUGUGGUAGGCACUUUAUGUGGAGCAUUUCUUGGUGCACAAAAAGAACAGGUCUGGAUUUUCAAUCCAGAUUCCUGAGCUGUGUACCCUCAAGCUAAUCACUUCUCCACUCUGGUCCUCUCUUUCUUGACCUCUUGUACUAAAGGAAUUCCCAAGUUCUCCACCCAAACAUCCCUCAGCAGAGGGCCCAGCAAGUUGGCUGACUGGGGGGCUGAGGUCUAAAGAAACAGCCUGAAGCGACCUUCUUAUAGGGUAAUGCUCCUUUGAAGUUGCCUAUUGCAGUUGUGAAAUUCAUGGCUCUGUAAUCCAUUACAUAACAUAUGUGCAUUUGUCUUCAUAUAAAAAGAAUGUGUUGAACUACUUGCCAGGUAAAGUGGUUGGCUUUUCCAGAAUCUUCUAGUGAAGUCAGAAUGUUCCAGGCUACUCUUCAACUUUGAGAGGCCCUGGCUCAUGGCUGAUGGCUGGGGGCAGGCACAGCUGGCUGCAAGAACACAAGGCCAUGAGACUCCACUGGCUUAGACUUUUUGGGAUGCUUUGAUGCUCAUCCUGGGGCUUAUGUCCACUGAGGGAUGGGUGAAGAUGGGGAAGGAGUGGGGAACUGGAUCCAAACAGCCCCAACCUCCGGCUGCGCCUGAACUCAUGGGAAUAAAAUCUUUUAGCCCCACCUAGGUGAGAAUUCUAUGGUGGCCACCAAAUAUGGCCCCAGGGUGCUAAGGGGGU
rnacentral:lncRNA from 1 species